AAGACUAUACUUUCAGGGAUCAUUUCUAUAGUAUGUAACUAGAGAAGUUUCUCUGAUCGUGUAUAGCACCGGAAGCCAGGAGGAGUCAGAGCGUCCUCUCCUGAGCAAGAAGCCGGCUCUAGGUGUUGCUUCAGUGACUGCCUUUUGCCAUUGAUGAUCGUUCUUCUCUUCCUUUGGAAGGGUUAGAGGGAGAGGAUGCAGUAUGAGUGGU